rnacentral:lncRNA from 1 species
AUCAUGGUUAAUAAUGAUGCUGUGGUUAGAAAUGUAUAUCACAAAUAUUUCCAUCCUAAAGAAGCUCUAGUUUCCAGUGGAGUCUUGAACAGGGAAAUUAGCCGAGCUGCAGGAAAGGCUGUGCCUGGGAUCAUUGAUGAGGAAAGCAGUGGAAACAAUGCCCAGUGAGUGUGUUUUCUGAUGCCACAUGAGGAAGAUGUAUCAUUUUGGAGUCUUCUUUUUCAAAAUGAAAAGAGCUUUUGUUUCUGGUUACAAAAAUAAUCAGAAUUUGAACAGUUCAAGAGGAAAAAAGUAGAAGCUCUGCACU